CUCAGUGUCCUGCUAAGCCAUUCCCAAACACCUGACCCACAGAAAUGAAGGUAAUGAAUGUUUAUUAUUAGCUUAAGCUAUCAGACCUGGGGAGGAAUUUGUUGCACAGAAAUAAAGGAUUAGUGCAAGCUGGUGUUUUCAUUAUCCUCCUUUUGCAGAUGUGGAACUGAGGCUAUGGGAUUUGCCUAAGGUCCUGCGAUUUAUGAUCUGAACCUGAGCAGCCUGGCUCCAAGGUCAUGUCAAGACUCAGAAUUGCUUCUCUUGGCUCAGAGCCACACGGCUCACCUAGUGGGAAAGAGGUUCAUGCAGCACACACUGCUUAAGCACGUACUGCCUGCCACCAGUGCCAGGACCACAAAGAUGACAGCUCUCCGGGCAGGCAGGAAAGACUCUCACUUCACAGAUGAAGCGGCGAAGGGCUCAGCAUGCCUUGGGGAGAUGCUGUAGCUGGCAUGGCUUGUCAGGCUCAAAGCCAGCUGACUCAUCUGGUUCCUGACUCAGCCCAGUUACCGUGAUGGGCCUGCUCUGUGGAUCUCCAACUCUGUGGUGAUGCUGGGCCCCCCAAAAUGGGAAGAGGGGGAACUGAAAACGGGAAAACAUUCUGGAAUUCUAUUCCAGGAGUCAGAAAGUUACCAGGCACUUCCGUGGCAGAACCCCAGGUGGUGGUGGGGCGGGUCUCUGCCUUCCUGCUUGUCCUGUGCCUCUUAUGGUUCUGUUCCGAACCGACGCUAUGCCUUCUGUGGAGGUUGAGCUCAGUGAGGACCAUCUGAACCACAAGGAACAUCUUCAGAAGGGUCCGGUCGUGGACAACCAGCCACCUCCAGGUUCUCCCUGUGUCUGUAGCAGACUGAUGGUGCUCCCCUGGACAAGGAGCACUGCUUUUCUAGACCUCAGUUUUCUCAUCUGUAAGAUGGAAAUGACUCUGGUUCCCUUACAAGCUUGCGAAAAGAUGAUAACGCCAGACAAUAACGACUUUGGAAGAGGAAGGGUUAAUAAAGAUUGUGGUUUUCAUUAUUUUUUUUUAGUAUUAAACACAUUGUGCAUGCUUUAAAUAUUUUUAAAUUUUUAAGUAUGUAUUUAUUAUUAUUGUAUAUGUGUGCUGGGGUGGGGCAUGCCAUAGUCAGUAUGUAGGGGUGGCGCACGCCUUUAAUCCCAGCACUCGGGAGGCAGAGCCAGGCGGAUCUCUGUGAGUUCGA